rnacentral:tRNA from 1 species
CGGCGGUUAGUUCAGUUGGAAGAACAACGGCCUUUGACGCCGUGUGCGCAGGUUCGAGCCCUGCACCGCCUG